rnacentral:rRNA from 1 species
GUGGGGAAUAUUGGACAAUGGGCGAAAGCCUGAUCCAGCCAUGCCGCGUGUGUGAAGAAGGUCUUCGGAUUGUAAAGCACUUUAAGUUGGGAGGAAGGGCAGUAAGUUAAUACCUUGCUGUUUUGACGUUACCGACAGAAUAAGCACCGGCUAACUUCGUGCCAGCAGCCGCGGUAAUACGAAGGGUGCAAGCGUUAAUCGGAAUUACUGGGCGUAAAGCGCGCGUAGGUGGUUUUGUAAGUUGGAGGUGAAAUCCCCGGGCUCAACCUGGGAACUGCCUCCAAAACUGCAUGACUAGAGUACGGUAGAGGGUAGUGGAAUUUCCUGUGUAGCGGUGAAAUGCGUAGAUAUAGGAAGGAACACCAUUGGCGAAGGCGACUACCUGGACUGAUACUGACACUGAGGUGCGAAAGCGUGGGGAGCAAACAGGAUUAGAUACCCCGGUAGUCC